rnacentral:misc_RNA from 1 species
UGAAAUUAAUAGGCAAAAGAAAGAGGAAAAAAGUUGAAACAACUUUGAUUAAUUGAUAGAAUUUGGUGAAAAAGAAACAAGCUAAAGCUUAGGUAGUCCUUCACCGAGAAGACGAGAAAGAUGAACGGCGGUCCCUCUGGUUUCAACAAUGCGCCAGUGACGAGAACAUUCGUUAUCGCUUGUGCCCUUUUCACCCUUUUCUUUGGGAUCCAAGGCGGCUUUGCCAAGCUUGGAUUGUCGUAUCAGGAUAUUUUCUUGAAACCACGUUUAUGGAAGCUUAUUGUGUCAGUUUUUUCCUUUUCAUCUACACCAGAACUUCUGUUUGGACUUUAUCUUCUAUAUUACUUCAGGGUCUUUGAAAGACAGAUAGGUUCCAAUAAAUACUCGGUCUUCAUUUUGUUCUCUAUAAUAGUUUCAUUACUGUUUGAGGUCCUUGCUCUAGGAUUCCUUAGAGAUCCCACACCAAACUUAGUCACAACUGGACCUUACGGUGUUAUAUUUGCUUCAUUUGUACCCUUUUUCUUUGACAUUCCUGUAUCAACACGGUUUCGUGUCUUUGGUGUUCACUUCUCUGAUAAGUCUUUCAUAUAUCUGGCUGGUCUUCAGCUUCUUUUAUCAUCCUGGAAAAGAUCUGUCUUGCCAGGGAUGUGUGGCAUCUUUGCCGGAUCAUUGUAUCGUCUUAAUAUCUUUCACAUCCGGAAAGCCAAGUUUCCAGAGUUCAUAACUUCAUUCUUCUCACGGCUUUCUUGGCCAUCUAUGGGGAGUCCUCGUGGAGCAACGACAAGGAAUAUUGCGGGAAGUGUGCCAUCCUACACAGGUCGCCAAGUGGAAAGAAACUACCCUACUCCCAUAGUUCCUCCUGUGGAGCCCCCAGAGGACUCUAUUGCCACAUUGGUUUCCAUGGGUUUUGACAGGAACUCAGCCAGACAGGCACUUGUGCAGGCGAGAAAUGACAUAAAUGCUGCAACAAACAUCCUUGUUGAAUCGCAGUGACACCGAUUCAUGUAAGUUAGUGUGGUGAAAUGAAACUGCGACUGUUGAGUCAGCAACUGAAACCCAUAAAUUCCAAGACAUGGUGACUAAACAGAUAAACCCAAUAUGAUGACCAGGCUGAUGUCUUUACCGGAGCUAAUCAAGUUGUUCCCAUCAUCAUUCGGAAGUAUUUUUUUUUCUGUUUAUUUUCAUCCCUGUUAAUUUUAAUUUAUUAUUCUUAAAUUAAGUUUUAGUAUUCUUACACUAGCAUGGCCAAAACUUAGGACCCCAAACAAUUGUUUACAUCUUAUUGGAAAACAUGUCCAUGGUAAUGUAAGUACAUAGUUGCCUUCAUCAAGUUGCAGCCUGUUUAAGCAAUUGAUCUCUUCUGGACUUGUUUAUAAAAGGGGUACAGAAAGCUCAAGCUCAUAGGAGCAUCAAUUCUCAAACGUUAGAUUUGCUAAUCCAUCCUGCCUUUGCAUCUUGAAAGGAUGCUGAUACUGUUAUUGCAGGAUUGAUCAAGACGUGCCAAAGACGAGAGAUUAUUAUUAUUAUUAUUAUCAUAGAAUUAUAGAGUAAUUUUUACUUAAAUUUCCCUCAAUUUUGAGAUUUGUUUCAUUUCCUUAACUUUAAAAAGUUUCAUAAAAUUUCAAAACAUAAAUUUUGUUGCAAGAAAAAUCCCUCACCUGAAUUUAAUGGUUGCUAUAGUUAAAAAUUUUCUCUUUCCCUGCCAGUUCUCUAGCUGUCUCUCUCUUUUCUGCUCUAUCUCUGCGCUAUAUUGUUCUCUCUCAUUUAUUUUCUAUGCAGGCGCUUAUUUUCACUAGGUACUUGUGCAUGCUUUGAGAGUGUAUGAGAGUUUGAUGAAGAAAAUAAGUAAUUGACAUGAUUGGACAUGUGUAGUGUUUCUUGCAAAGCAAAUACCUAAUCUAGAAGCAUAUUGCGGUUAAAAAGGAAAUUUAGUAUAAAAGUUCUUGGCUUCCUCCCUACGUCACCUUUCCUAUGCCGAAAGACCAAUCACUCAGCAGAAAGACGACAAGAGAGCCACUCAGCCACUUAGAUUUUGGCUUCCUCCUCUGCUCUCGAUGCAACCUGUUGCCACUAUUGCAUGCAACCUAUCCCUCGCCACCAUCCCAUCGGGGCAUCGCCAUCACUGGCUCCUUGCUUUCACGCAUCGUUGUGUAUGCUGAGUAUCAGAAAUUUUAUUGAUUUCAUGCGGAAUGUAAAUAUAUACGUUUUUUUUUCUUGUGGAUUUUACCAAUUGAUUAAUGGGUUUAUGUUAACUUUAUUGAUUUUCUUGUGGAUUUUGUAUAUGUAUAUGUUUGGGGGGUUUCCUUAUGGAUGGUUGAUUCUCGUUGAGAGCAAUUUUUGGAUAUGUGAUUUUCAACUUCUG